rnacentral:rRNA from 1 species
GAUGAACGCUGGCGGCGUGCCUAAUACAUGCAAGUCGAGCGAACAGACGAGGAGCUUGCUCCUCUGACGUUAGCGGCGGACGGGUGAGUAACACGUGGAUAACCUACCUAUAAGACUGGGAUAACUUCGGGAAACCGGAGCUAAUACCGGAUAAUAUAUUGAACCGCAUGGUUCAAUAGUGAAAGACGGUUUUGCUGUCACUUAUAGAUGGAUCCGCGCCGCAUUAGCUAGUUGGUAAGGUAACGGCUUACCAAGGCAACGAUGCGUAGCCGACCUGAGAGGGUGAUCGGCCACACUGGGACUGAGACACGGUCCAGACUCCUACGGGAGGCAGCAGUAGGGAAUCUUCCGCCAUGGGCGAAAGACUGACGGAGCAACGCCGCGUGAGUGAUGAAGGUCUUCGGAUCGUAAAACUCUGUUAUUAGGGAAGGACAAAUGUGUAAGUAACUAUGCACGUCUUGACGGUACCUAAUCAGAAAGCCACGGCUAACUACGUG